rnacentral:rRNA from 1 species
AUCUAUGCCAUACCACACUGAACACAUCUCGUCUGAUCUUAGAAGCUAAGCAGGCUCAGGCCUGGUUAGUACUUGGAUGGGAGACCCCUUUAAAAUACUGAGCACUGUAGGCU